CGUGUGUGUGUGUGUGUGUGUGUGUGUGUGUGUGUGUGUCUGCUGGGGGCCUACCCCCAGCCACACCC
rnacentral:miRNA from 1 species